rnacentral:rRNA from 1 species
AUGAAGAUGGUUGAAACUGAGAAACAUUUGGUAUUUCCAUUGGUAUACAAACUUAUUGAGUUGGCUUUGAUAUUGCCGGUGUCAACGGCAUCUGUUGAGAGAGCUUUUUCAGCAAUGAAGAUUAUCAAGACUAAACUGCGUAGCAAGAUCAAUAAUGAAUGGUUCAAUGACUUGAUGAUAUGUUACACCGAGCGGGAGUUAUUCAAAUCAGUUGAUGAUAAGGAUAUUAUUCGAACUUUUACUGCAAUGGGGUCUCGGAAAGGGCAUUUGCCUCGUAAUUUUCUUUAG